UACGUAGGUGGCAAGCGUUGUCCGGAAUUCUUGGGCGUAAAGCGCGCGCAGGCGGUCCUUUAAGUCUGAUGUGAAAGCCCACGGCUCAACCGUGGAGGGUCAUUGGAAACUGGGGGACUUGAGUGCAGAAGAGGAAAGCGGAAUUCCACGUGUAGCGGUGAAAUGCGUAGAGAUGUGGAGGAACACCAGUGGCGAAGGCGGCUUUCUGGUCUGUAACUGACGCUGGGGUGCGAAAGCGUGGGGAGCAAACAGG
rnacentral:rRNA from 1 species